GAUGAACGCUGGCGGCGUGCCUAAUACAUGCAAGUCGAGCGAACGGACGAGAAGCUUGCUUCUCUGAUGUUAGCGGCGGACGGGUGAGUAACACGUGGAUAACCUACCUAUAAGACUGGGAUAACUUCGGGAAACCGGAGCUAAUACCGGAUAAUAUUUUGAACCGCAUGGUUCAAAAGUGAAAGACGGUCUUGCUGUCACUUAUAGAUGGAUCCGCGCUGCAUUAGCUAGUUGGUAAGGUAACGGCUUACCAAGGCAACGAUGCAUAGCCGACCUGAGAGGGUGAUCGGCCACACUGGAACUGAAACACGGUCCAGACUCCUACGGGAGGCAGCAGUAGGGAAUCUUCCGCAAUGGGCGAAAGCCUGACGGAGCAACGCCGCGUGAGUGAUGAAGGUCUUCGGAUCGUAAAACUCUGUUAUUAGGGAAGAACAUAUGUGUAAGUAACUGUGCACAUCUUGACGGUACCUAAUCAGAAAGCCACGGCUAACUACGUG
rnacentral:rRNA from 1 species